rnacentral:rRNA from 1 species
UACGAAGGGGGCUAGCGUUGCUCGGAAUCACUGGGCGUAAAGCGCACGUAGGCGGAUCGUUAAGUCGGAGGUGAAAUCCUGGAGCUCAACUCCAGAACUGCCUUCGAUACUGGCGAUCUUGGAGUCCGGGAGAGGUGAGUGGAACUCCGAGUGUAGAGGUGAAAUUCGUAGAUAUUCGGAAGAACACCAGUGGCGAAGGCGGCUCACUGGCCCCGGUACUGGACGACUGAGGUGGCGAAAGCGUGGGGAGCAAACAGGG